rnacentral:rRNA from 1 species
UAGGGAAUCUUCCACAAUGGACGAAAGUCUGAUGGAGCAACGCCGCGUGAGCGAAGAAGGUUUUCGGAUCGUAAAGCUCUGUUGUGAGGGAAGAACAAGUACGGGAGUAACUGCCCGUACCUUGACGGUACCUCAUUAGAAAGCCACGGCUAACUACGUGCCAGCAGCCGCGGUAAUACGUAGGUGGCAAGCGUUGUCCGGAAUUAUUGGGCGUAAAGCGCGCGCAGGCGGUUCUUUAAGUCUGAUGUGAAAGCCCACGGCUCAACCGUGGAGGGUCAUUGGAAACUGGGGAACUUGAGUACAGAAGAGGAAAGCGGAAUUCCACGUGUAGCGGUGAAAUGCGUAGAGAUGUGGAGGAACACCAGUGGCGAAGGCGGCUUUCUGGUCUGUAACUGACGCUGAGGCGCGAAAGCGUGGGGAGCAAACAGGAUUAGAUACCCCCGUAGUCC